UUCAUCAUCCAACAAAGCGGCGAAAAGCAGACAAAAACGCCGAGCAGUUAGUUCAUUUUUCACGAUCCUUUCUGAAUUUACUUUGUUUCUCACCUAAAAGAAAUUGCAAAGGUUGUGUUUUUAGCUGCUGCGAUAAAUAAAAUACGCACAAAAAGAAAACAAUACAAAGUGUUGUGAUUUAAAAUAUAAUAUAAAGCAAUUGACGCACAAAGUUCGGAAGAACAACAAAAUUUUAAGAAAUGGAGAACCCAAAUGAUUUUCCGGCACCAUCUGGAUCAACAACUGAUUUUCCUGUUUUACCCCCGCCUCCGAACUCUGCCAGUCCCAGCAAUAAUAAUCAAGCGCAGAAGCGACUUCAACAAACCCAAGCCAAGGUCGAUGAAGUGGUCGGUAUUAUGCGCGUGAAUGUGGAAAAGGUUCUGGAGCGCGAUCAGAAACUAUCGGAACUGGGUGAGCGUGCUGAUGCGCUGGAAGCCGGUGCCUCGCAAUUCGAACAACAAGCUGGCAAGUUGAAACGCAAACAAUGGUGGGCUAACAUGAAAAUGAUGAUCAUUAUGGGUGUGAUCGGUGUGGUUCUCUUAAUUAUCAUAAUCGUUAUGCUCUUUUAUUAACCGGUACCAAUUAGCAGUUGAAGAUCAACCUUUUAAAUAUAUACAUGUUCUCUAUAAGUGUGUGUUUUUGUCUAUAUAUGUAUGUGUCUAGUGUUUUCAGUUUCUUUAAUUAAGCAUUUUUGAAAUAAAAAGCAGUAAAUAAUUGUUUAAGUAGGAAAAGUAGAAGUUUGUACCGACGCAAUACGUCUGAAAGCCAUUUUUUUUAAAGUUAUCCUUCCUGCCAUCCGGCAGUAGCAGCUCUGAUUCACAUAACCAAAUUCAAAACACGACAUCACCUUAAAAAGCUCAGACCGCAGUGGCCUUAUGAUGAUUCCUUGUUGUUUUGAUUGAAAGCAUUAGACGUGGUUUUUAAAAAAUGCACAAAAUGCCAGCGCACAAUCAAUAUGCAUUGGAUCGUUUCUUUAAUACAGCUCUAACUGAAUGUCUUUAAACAGUAUACAAACAAAAAUAUAUAUACAUAAAUCAUUAUACAUAUAUACAAGUAAUAUACAAAAUGUAUGCCUUAAAUAUUAUACAACGGAUAUCUGAAUGAAAUUGUAAUUGGAAAUGUAAAACAUAACAAAGCAAAGUAUUUGUUUAAUUUUGUGUUUGUUUAAUUGUUUUUUGUAAUAUAAAAACGUUUGUCGUACUCUUAAUUGUUAAAAAAGCCGAAAUCCAUUUGACAUUUUUACAUAUACAAUAUUAAAACGAUUUGUAAAAUUAUAUUGCUGUUAUAUACAUAUACAGAGUACACAUACAUAUAUAUAUAUAAAACUAUAUACAUGUAUAUUUACAUAAACAUAAAAUACUUUAGUGUUGAUUUUAGCGUUUUCGAAGUAUUUACACACAAUAUACAUAUUCUAACGGUGUAUGAGAGGAAACAAACAACUAUUUACAAAAUGUAAACUAUACACAUACAACAAAUAAAUUAAGCAACAUUUUGGAAAACAUUAAA